rnacentral:lncRNA from 1 species
CUCAGGUGCAUGCAGUGCAGCUGAAUGACCGGAAGGGAUAGAGCCAGGAUCCACCCCUUCCCAGACCUCAUUUAAGGGCCGGCAGUGGAAGCAAAAACAUCUGUGUACUCGAGUCCUCCUGAAGAGAAUCCUUGUCUUGGCCUGAGUAGAGAGAGCACUUGCAGAACUGGUAGCUGUUUCCUGUUGAUUGUGCUUCGUGAAAUCAGUUCCUAUACAUCUUCAACUGUGCGCUGUCUUUAUCUUGAACUGAAGCAAACAGGAAAGUUUCCCAUUAGAAUGCAACUCCGAUGGACUGGAUAGCUGUGUGCCCACCCUUGAAGCUGUAAGCAUCCUGGACACCCAUUCCAGAAGGAUGUUUUUGUCAGAUGGAGAUUCCACUUUAGGAAAAUAUUAAAACAAAGAUUUCAAAGGGGCUUCAGAAAAUGCUUAAAGGCCGUAGACCAAAUGCUGUUUUGCUGUCUGAAGAGAUCUCAGCAAAGGGGCAGUAGUUAAAGAGGAACGAUUACAUUGUAAAAAGCCAUAAAACCUUCCAGGAUUCAGAGUCUCAGGGGAAAGCAGAAAGGAACCCAAGACGAAGUCACACAUUGUGGAUCCAUAGAGCCCGACAUCACUAGACUGUGUUGCCAAGAUGGCAUGGCUCAGGCAUCACUACUGGAAGUGCUGGCACUUACCUCUGGGAAAUCAGUGGGACUCACUGUGGAGCAAAGCAUUGUCAGCAAGACUCUGUGACGUCAAGAAUCCUUUUCCCAAAGAGGCCACUUCAAAAGGACUGGAAAUGCUGCAGAUUUUUUUCAGCAGGACUGCACUGAAUACGUGAAUCAGUGACUGCAAGAGCGUCUAAUUAAAUGCUCUGAGUCAAAGAAAUAUGACUGUCAACAUUAGCAACCAAGAUGAAGAGCCAAAUAUCUACAUGAUGAUAUUGAAAGGCAGAGUUCAAGUCCUGGCCCUGGCACAGGCUACUUCUCUAGCCCUGGGUAAGUAGUUUCAUAGCCUUGGCCCCUACUGUGUAAACCAGUAAUAACUGUUCAUUUCCAUCAUCAUUUGUAAUUCAUCUCUAGUCCAACUGGAUCAUUUGUUUUCUGUUGAUGCAGCAGAAAGGAGCAGAUGAUCUUAAAACUAUGGCUCUUGCUAGGAAGAAGAAAAUAAUCUGUAUUGGCAUUUCAUUUACUUGUUUCAUAAUUUGCAGGCCUCGUGUAAGAUUCAGUCUCUUGAAACUAACAUUGACUGGACCCAGUGAUUUCUACCACAUUUUGACUUUUUCAUUUAGAAAUGUUGAGGUAGUUGGAUUCAUCUUUUUGUUUAGAUAGUUGUAAAAGAUUAAAUAAAGGAAAUCCAUAGCCAGCUCAGGGAGUAAAUGGAAACAUUUAUACAGAAGUCUCAGCAGUUUCCUUCGGGGGGCAUGUUUUCUUUUUCCCAUUUACCUUUGUUUGCUCAUGACAGACAUCAAACAAAAUCUUGACCUUGAAGAAAGUCUGAUGUAUAUGACACAACACUCAGGAGAAAUGUACCCUCUGAAAAAAAGUCAGGUUUCAUUUAUGUUGUUAUGAUUUAGGUCUACAUAAGACGAGGCAUAAAUAUCUAAAGGACAGUCCUUGCUCUCAGACAUCUGCUAGUGGUGAAGCAAAAUAAGGGGAGAUCAGAGUAAAAUUUUUGUCGGCUUCAGAUGUAGGAAAAUAAAUUAUGC